rnacentral:lncRNA from 1 species
AUGUUUUCCCUUACAUCAUCACUGAGGUGUUUUGGGGUUUUCUGUGUCUCCUCAGCUGUAUCAGUAAUAAUGUUUUCCCUUACAUCAUCACUGAGGUGUUUUGCGGUUUUCUGUGUCUCCUCAGCUGCAUCAGUAAUAAGCAGUAAUAAUAAUACUGAUAAAAGUAGUUUUUUGUUUCUCCUUGUGCUCAUUCCCCCUGACCCACCCUCUCCUCCCUGCCUGCUGCUGCUGCCUGUGCUGCCCUUCCCUCGCUGCCUGUUCCCUCUGGAUUUAGAGCUGGUUGUGCUGCUGUUCCCCCACUGCCUGUUCCCUCUGGAUUUAGGGCUGGUUGUGCUGCUGUUCCCUCACUGCCUGUUCCCUCUGGAUUUAGGGUUGGUUGUGCUGCUGUUCCCUCACUGCCUGUUCCCUCUGGAUUUAGGGUUGGUUGUGCUGCUGUUCCCUCACUGCCUGUUCCCUCUGGAUUUAGGGUUGGUUGUGCUGCUGUUCCCUCACUGCCUGUUCCCUCUGGAUUUAGGGUUGGUUGUGCUGCUGUUCCCUCACUGCCUGUUCCCUCUGGAUUUAGGGUUGGUUGUGCUGCUGUUCCCUCACUGCCUGUUCCCUCUGGAUUUAGGGUUGGUUGUGCUGCUGUUCCCUCACUGCCUGUUCCCUCUGGAUUUAGGGUUGGUUGUGCUGCUGUUCCCUCACUGCCUGUUCCCUCUGGAUUUAGGGUUGGUUGUGCUGCUGUUCCCUCACUGCCUGUUCCCUCUGGAUUUAGGGUUGGUUGUGCUGCUGUUCCCUCACUGCCUGUUCCCUCUGGAUUUAGGGUUGGUUGUGCUGCUGUUCCCUCACUGCCUGUUCCCUCUGGAUUUAGGGUUGGUUGUGCUGCUGUUCCCUCACUGCCUGUUCCCUCUGGAUUUAGGGUUGGUUGUGCUGCUGUUCCCUCACUGCCUGUUCCCUCUGGAUUUAGGGUUGGUUGUGCUGCUGUUCCCUCACUGCCUGUUCCCUCUGGAUUUAGGGUUGGUUGUGCUGCUGUUCCCUCACUGCCUGUUCCCUCUGGAUUUAGGGUUGGUUGUGCUGCUGUUCCCUCACUGCCUGUUCCCUCUGGAUUUAGGGUUGGUUGUGCUGCUGUUCCCUCACUGCCUGUUCCCUCUGGAUUUAGGGUUGGUUGUGCUGCUGUUCCCUCACUGCCUGUUCCCUCUGGAUUUAGGGUUGGUUGUGCUGCUGUUCCCUCACUGCCUGUUCCCUCUGGAUUUAGGGUUGGUUGUGCUGCUGUUCCCUCACUGCCUGUUCCCUCUGGAUUUAGGGUUGGUCGUGGCAGCUGCUGUCGCAGUCCUGGCAUCGAUUUUCUCCUUCAACUACUUCAGUGAUUGA